UACGUAGGUGGCAAGCGUUGUCCGGAAUCAUUGGGCGUAAAGCGCGCGUAGGCGGCCCUGUAAGUCCGUUGUGAAAGUCAAAGGCUCAACCUUUGAAAGCCGAUGGAUACUGCAGGGCUCGAGUUCGGAAGAGGCGAGUGGAAUUCCUGGUGUAGCGGUGGAAUGCGCAGAUAUCAGGAGGAACACCAAUAGCGAAGGCAGCUCGCUGGGACGAUACUGACGCUAAGGCGCGAAAGCGUGGGGAGCGAACGAGGA
rnacentral:rRNA from 1 species